rnacentral:rRNA from 1 species
CAUGCAAGUCGAACGCUUUGUCUUUAAUUGAUCUGACGAGCUUGCUCUGAUUUGAUUUUAUCUGACAAAGAGUGGCGAACGGGUGAGUAACACGUGGGUAACCUACCUCUUAGCAGGGGAUAACAUUUGGAAACAAGUGCUAAUACCGUAUAAUACCAACAACCGCAUGGUUGUUGGUUGAAAGAUGGUUCUGCUAUCACUAAGAGAUGGACCCGCGGUGCAUUAGCUAGUUGGUAAGGUAACGGCUUACCAAGGCAAUGAUGCAUAGCCGAGUUGAGAGACUGAUCGGCCACAAUGGGACUGAGACACGGCCCAUACUCCUACGGGAGGCAGCAGUAGGGAAUCUUCCACAAUGGGCGCAAGCCUGAUGGAGCAACGCCGCGUGUGUGAUGAAGGGUUUCGGCUCGUAAAACACUGUUAUAAGAGAAGAACGGCACUGAGAGUAACUGUUCAGUGUGUGACGGUAUCUUACCAGAAAGGAACGGCUAAAUACGUGCCAGCAGCCGCGGUAAUACGUAUGUUCCAAGCGUUAUCCGGAUUUAUUGGGCGUAAAGCGAGCGCAGACGGUUAUUUAAGUCUGAAGUGAAAGCCCUCAGCUCAACUGAGGAAUGGCUUUGGAAACUGGAUGACUUGAGUGCAGUAGAGGAAAGUGGAACUCCAUGUGUAGCGGUGAAAUGCGUAGAUAUAUGGAAGAACACCAGUGGCGAAGGCGGCUUUCUG